AGUGAACGCUGGCGGCGUGCCUAACACAUGCAAGUCGAACGCGAAAGUCCUCUUCGGAGGGCAAGUAGAGUGGCAGACGGGUGAGUAAUGCAUAGGUAAUUUUCCCUUGAGUGGGGGACAACUGAUCGAAAGGUCAGCUAAUCCCGCAUGACAUCCAAUUACUUAAGUUGUUGGAUUAAAGAGGGGGCUCUUUCGGGACCUCUCGCUUAAGGAUGAGCUUAUGUCCUAUUAGCUAGUUGGUAGGGUAAUGGCCUACCAAGGCUCUGAUGGGUAGCCGAGCUUAGAGGCUGAUCGGCCACACUGGAACUGAGACACGGUCCAGACUCCUACGGGUGGCAG
rnacentral:rRNA from 1 species